UACGAAGGGGGCUAGCGUUGCUCGGAAUCACUGGGCGUAAAGGGUGCGUAGGCGGGUCUUUAAGUCGGGGGUGAAAGCCCAGGGCUCAACCCUGGAAUUGCCUUCGAUACUGGAUAUCUUGAGUUCGGGAGAGGUGAGUGGAAUGCCGAGUAUAGAGGUGAAAUUCGUAGAUAUUCGCAAGAACACCAGUGGCGAAGGCGGCUUACUGGUCCGGUUCUGACGCUGAGGCGCGAAAGCGUGGGGAGCAAACAGG
rnacentral:rRNA from 1 species